GACGAACGCUGACGGCGUGCUUUAGACAUGCAAGUCGAACGAGAAAGCCCUUCGGGGUUAGUAAAGUGGCGAACGGGUGAGUAACACGUGGGCAAUCUGCCCUUCGUUGGGGGACAACCGGGGGAAACCCCGGCUAAUACCCCGUAAGCUUGUCGGGUCGCAUGGCCUGACAAGGAGAGGUAGCUUCGGCCAUCCGGCGAAGGAGGAGCCCGCGGUACAUUAGCUAGUUGGUGAGGUAAAGGCCCACCAAGGCGACGAUGUAUAGCUGGUCUGAGAGGAUGAUCAGCCACACUGGGACUGAGACACGGCCCAGACUCCUACGGGAGGCAGCAGUCGGGAAUCUUGCACAAUGGGCGAAAGCCUGAUGCAGCAACGCCGUGUGAGCGACGAAGGCCCUAGGGUCGUAAAGCUCUGUUGUUAGGGACGAAGGGCGAAGGGUUAAUAGCCCUUAGCCUGACGGUACCUUUCGAGGAAGCCCCGGCUAACUACGUGCCAGCAGCCGCGGUAA
rnacentral:rRNA from 1 species